rnacentral:rRNA from 1 species
AGGAUGAACGCUAGCGACAGGCUUAACACAUGCGAAGUCGAGGGGCAGCACGAGGGUAGCAAUACGUGGGUGGCGACCGGCGACGACGGGUGAGUAACGCGUAUGCAACUUACCUAUCAGAGGGGGAUAGCCCGGCGAAAGUCGGAUUAAUACCCGAUGGCAUAGUUCUUCCGCAUGGUAGAACUAUUAAAGGAUUUCGGUCAUCGAUGGGGAUGCGUUCCAUUAGGUUGUUGGCGGGGUAACGGCCCACCAAGCCUUCGAUGGAUAGGGGUUCUGAGAGGAAGGUCCCCCACAUUGGAACUGAGACACGGUCCAAACUCCUACGGGAGGCAGCAGUGAGGAAUAUUGGUCAAUGGACGAGAGUCUGAACCAGCCAAGUAGCGUGAAGGAUGAAGGUCCUACGGAUUGUAAACUUCUUUUAUAAGGGAAUAAACCCUCCCACGUGUGGGAGCUUGUAUGUACCUUAUGAAUAAGCAUCGGCUAACUCCGUG